UACGUAGGGUGCGAGCGUUGUCCGGAAUUAUUGGGCGUAAAGGGCUCGUAGGCGGUUUGUCGCGUCAGGAGUGAAAACUCGGGGCUUAACCCCGAGCCUGCUUCUGAUACGGGCAGACUAGAGGUAUGCAGGGGAGAACGGAAUUCCUGGUGUAGCGGUGAAAUGCGCAGAUAUCAGGAGGAACACCGGUGGCGAAGGCGGGUCUCUGGGCCGUAACUGACGCUGAGGAGCGAAAGCGUGGGGAGCGAACAGG
rnacentral:rRNA from 1 species